rnacentral:rRNA from 1 species
CCUACGGGGGGCAGCAGUGGGGAAUAUUGCACAAUGGGCGCAAGCCUGAUGCAGCCAUGCCGCGUGUGUGAAGAAGGCCUUCGGGUUGUAAAGCACUUUCAGCGGGGAGGAAGGCGUUAAGGUUAAUAACCUUGUCGAUUGACGUUACCCGCAGAAGAAGCACCGGCUAACUCUGUGCCAGCAGCCGCGGUAAUACGGAGGGUGCAAGCGUUAAUCGGAAUUACUGGGCGUAAAGCGCACGCAGGCGGUCUGUCAAGUCGGAUGUGAGAUCCCCGGGCUCAACCUGGGAACUGCAUUCGAAACUGGCAGGCUAGAGUCUUGUAGAGGGGGGUAGAAUUCCAGGUGUAGCGGUGAAAUGCGUAGAGAUCUGGAGGAAUACCGGUGGCGAAGGCGGCCCCCUGGACAAAGACUGACGCUCAGGUGCGAAAGCGUGGGGAGCAAACAGGAUUAGAUACCCCAGUAGUC